rnacentral:rRNA from 1 species
CGGGGAAUAUUGGACAAUGGGCGAAAGCCUGAUCCAGCGACGCCGCGUGUCGGAAGGAGUCCUUCGGGAUGUAAACGACUUUUGGUGGAGACGAAUAAGCAGCUCAGGGAAUGGGGCUGUGAUGACGGUAUCCAUGGAAUAAGCCCCGGCUAACUACGUGCCAGCAGCCGCGGUAAGACGUAGGGGGCAAGCGUUACCCGGAAUUACUGGGCGUAAAGGGAGCGUAGGCGGGAGGUCAAAUCCGGUGUGAAAGACCCUGGCUCAACCAGGGAUGAGGGCUGGAAACUGACAAUCUUGAGUACAGCAGAGGAAGAGGGAAUUACCGGUGUAGGGGUGAAAUCCGUAGAGACCGGUAAGAAGGCCAGUGGCGAAGGCGCUUUUCUGGGCUGUUACUGACGCUGAGGCUCGAAAGCCAGGGGAGCAAACCG